rnacentral:tRNA from 1 species
GCUGAUGUAGCUCAGCUGGCGCGCGACUCAUAAUCGCGAGGUCGGAAGUUCAAAUCUUCCCAUCAGCA